rfam:Rattus norvegicus chromosome 16, whole genome shotgun sequence.
GGGGAUUUAGCUCAGUGGUAGAGCGCUUGCCUAGGAAGCGCAAGGCCCUGGGUUCGAUCCCCAGCUCG